CACCCUUUCUCAUUGCAUAUAGGUCAAAAGAGCAACUAGACUCUAUGCCGCAAGCAUCAUCACUAUCGUCAUCACAGACCUUUCACCGCCGGGUUUCGGAAGGGACCCUUGACGAAAAUACGGUGUUUAUGUGAUGUUGAUUUUUUGGGGUUUUGGGCUGUCACUGAAGGUCAUGGCUUCUCCCUAGCUGCUCAUGUUAUUCAUUUUUUCGCUUGAUUAGGAUGUUAUAUCUACAAGUUCUUCGGCUUUGCAUUUUGGUACUGGUGAUGAUAACUUUUGCCUCCAGAAGAAAAUGUUAUAAAGAGUCUUAAAACCGAUUUGAACGAUGAAUGAAUCAGCUUUCGGUUGUGUUAUAAAAAAGAGGUAGAACGAGUUUGUUGCCCAAGUGAGAUUAGUGCUCAAACACUACCCAACUCUUCAAUUAUCUCAAUCAAGAAAGAGUGCAAGCACAAAAGUCGGGUAUAGAGAAGUCUAAUGAGACGGGUAUACGGGUCACAUAUCAAAUGAUGAAAAUUGGUCGCGUGUCUGUUUAGGGUGAAGAGAACCACCUGAUAUGCAGCCCCAUACCUUGAAUGUAGGUAAAAACGUCCCUGCAACUAGGAAAAUGAUUGAAAACCUUCAAAUCUUGAGGCUGUGAUGGUGACAGUGAUCAGUCAUAUCUUGACUGACCUUGAUGAAUACUUGUUCCAUGACCUUGGCAGCAGCGGCGAUUACGGUUUAGGGAAGCUGGAUUGUUCAGAUGAUUGGUGGGAAAAGAAAAUAAAGGAAGGAAAACCAACCGUCGAGGAGUUCUAGGAAGCUUGGGAUAAGUUAUUCGAGAAUGUGGUUGCCAAUGGAGCAGAUUAUGUAGACCGAAAUAAGUCUAAUCAAGUACAACACGUGAAUUUUGAGGAUGAGGAUGAUUAGUGUACUAUGCAAUGCUGUUGUUGGGUUAUACACUGUGCAACACAUGUUUUCUAAGCAUUUUGUCAUUGUACUUUCGUUUUUUUUUUAAUUUGGAAGUGAAAUUGAACAAAGGAAGUUCAGGGGCUAUUUGUAUUUUACUGAAUUUGGAGCUUUGAAACUGGAAAGUGAAAAAAGUAACUGAAAGUUGUGUUAAUUGACAUGUUUAAUUUGGUUGGUUUAUUGUACUCAGAGUUACUGUAACAUAUAUGGAGGUUCAAGUGCUGGGGUAGCUGGUGCCUGGUAUGAUUACUGCUGCAGCUGUAGCCGUCGCUUUCUACCUGUAGAUGAACACGGAAGCUACGCCAUUGGUUAGAGCUGCUAUGGUGUAUACCCACACCAUCUCUACCAGUAUUCUGCAGUAAGUGCAUGUCAUAUCAUCCUAUUGGGUUAGAGUUGUUUGAAAGAUUAAGCUUGGAAGUGCUUGAGAUGGUGCUAAACUAAAUUGUUAAUAGCAAUCCAUGAACUGCUAGAAUUAAUUUAAGUUGUGGGUUUAUAAGAAUUCUUGCUUGAAUAAUUUAUCGAACA